GACGAACGCUGGCGGCGUGCUUAACACAUGCAAGUCACGGGGGCUGGAGCAAUCCAGUAACCGGCGAACGGGUGCGUAACACGUGAGCAACCUGCCGUACUCAGGGGGAUAGCCGGCCCAACGGCCGGGUAAUACCGCAUACGUUCUCGCAGGGGAGUCCCUGUGGGAGGAAACCUCCGGGGAGUACGAGGGGCUCGCGGCCUAUCAGCUAGUUGGUGCGGUAACGGCGCACCGAGGCGACGACGGGAGCUGGUCUGAGAGGAUGGCCAGCCACAUUGGGACUGAGAGACGGCCCAGACUCCUACGGGAGGCAGCAGUGGGGAAUCUUGGACAAUGGGCGCAAGCCUGAUCCAGCCAUGCCGCGUGAGUGAUGAAGGCCCUAGGGUUGUAAAGCUCUUUUG
rnacentral:rRNA from 1 species